GAAACUAUAGUCAACAAAAUGACAGUUGGUUUGCAUCCAAAAAGUGCUCAACUUUUUUCC
rnacentral:tRNA from 1 species